AAAUAUAUAAAUAUAGAGUUCCUGGUUUCAUUCUGAUGUGGAACAGGUUAGUGUCCCACAGGAUGGAAAGUAACUUCCUGUCCAGCUCUGCGAAUAAAUUCUUAGCAGCAAACUUAUUUCUGUGUUAUUUUUCAAGUUCAUAUAUUUUCCCUAUUCAUCUCCUGUUUUCAGGUAGACUGUGGCAGAAUUGCUUAGAGAGCUGACGCCCGCACUGAGCUCAGCACAUCCGCUUCAGCUGAGAAAGCUGAAGCCAAAAAGGUGUGAGGGGAGAUUUACUGACACACAUUGAACCCAGUGAAAUACUGAGGAAAUGAAACUAGGUUAGGUGAAUAAGGACAUGAGGUCCACUGCAUGUGUUUGGGAGGAAGGAGGAUGGAUGGGCAGGCAGAAAAGAAGGGCAGUUACCCCUCGGAGGAGGCUACUAGGGAGCUACUCAGCUCCCUAAGACUGGUAGAGCGCUUUAGGUCCCACUGCUUCAUCUCUGCUAUGGCAAAAGACGGAGCUUUCUGGAAUAUGCUGCGAUAAAUGAUGUGUGUCUGGCAUACAGGACUCCUCAUAAUUUUGUUUUUCCUCCUCUUUCCAAACUAGUCUUGUUAGUAUUGUGUAUGCAUUGGGAUAUCGUAGUCCUAAAGUCUUGUUUUUUUCCCUUUCAACUUUUUAUCCAUCCUGUUGAGCCUGGUCAAUGGAGCAGGUUGUCUUCUCAGACCAAACCACUGAAUGACAAAGUUGUUUUAUGUUUUCCUGCAGUGUCAAAGAAGGUUACAUGGAAGAGCAAGUACCAAGGAUGCAAAGCAGGGCUUCAAAAACCAAGUGCCUGUAACACAAAACUGGCUUAGACUUGUUCUGAAUCAAGGGGAGGAAAAUGAAGUGACUGGAAGUCUACAUGGAACUGCUGAUCAGGAAAUUACUGUUCUCAUGGCACCAAUCCUACUCCACUUUCUGAGCCAGUAACAAAUCAGAAAAACACUACUGAAACAGAACAUAACAGGAGAAUUGCCUAUUUGUCUGUUUAGCCAUCCCCAUAUCCAUCCUAGGUACUUCUACAACGACCAUCUCUUUAUAGCUUACGUUCUCGGGACUGGAGACUAGAAGGAUUUGAGGCUUGUCAGAUGAUGACAUCAGGAUUGAAUUGCAGAGAUUUCUGCCUUCUGAAGUGCUACAAAAGUCAUUCUGGAAUUUCUUACUGCAAUUGUUUUUUUCUUCCCUGAUUGUUAGAGCCAGCUGCAGAGCCAACCACAUCUGGUUACUCCAAGUGCAGAGGCA
rnacentral:lncRNA from 1 species